AAUAGAUACCCGGGUAGUCCACGCCGUAAACGAUGAGUGCUAGGUGUCGGGGGUCCUACCCUCGGUGCCGAAGGUAACCCAUUAAGCACUCCGCCUGGGGAGUACGGCCGCAAGGCUGAAACUCAAAGGAAUUGACGGGGGCCCGCACAAGCGGUGGAGCAUGUGGUUUAAUUCGAAGCAACGCGAAGAACCUUACCAGGGCUUGACAUCCCGCUGACCGCUCCAGAGAUGGAGCUUCCCUUCGGGGCAGCGGUGACAGGUGGUGCAUGGUUGCCGUCAGCUCGUGUCGUGAGAUGUUGGGUUCAGUCCCGCAACGAGCGCAACCCUUAUCGCUAGUUGCCAGCAUUCAGUUGGGCACUCUAGCGAGACAGCCGGUGAAAGCCGGAGGAAGGUGGGGAUGACGUCAAAUCAUCAUGCCCCUUAUGUCAUGGGCUACACACGUGCUACAAUGGCCGGUACAAUGGGUCGCCAACCCGCGAGGGGGAGCUAAUCCCACAAAACCGGUCUCAGUUCGGAUCGCAGG
rnacentral:rRNA from 1 species